AUGAAGCUGCUUUGGAAAUAAUUUUGCAAUUGAAAUCAGUCGGAGCCCCUGACAAAUCUAGUGUUCAUUGGUUGAAGUUAAUAAUCUGAGGAAACUCAUUCAUUAACACAAUAACUAGGUUUGAGUGUCAUAUUGCUUUAAGACAGUUUACAAUGUUUUUAUAUUUCUUCAAAUGCUUUCAUCUGACAUCAUCACUGUCAUUUUAAGACUGUAGAAGAGAUUUUGAUUGGUGGCCAUCAAAUGAAAAAGCGACAUGUCUCAUUAAACAUCGAGCAUUUAGUAAAUAUUCCAAAGAUGUCUGAAGCAUUCUGAGGCUGUCUGAAAAAUAUACUGAAGAUUCUUAAAAAUUUGAAUUUGCCAUCGACGUCAUCGCACUUUGGAUGAAUGCGGCGCUUUAAAUAUUUUACUUGAUUUAUAUAAAAAAUUAAGAAACCC